rnacentral:sRNA from 12 species
CCUUUGGAGAGUUAUAUCAAACUGGAGUAGCUUUUAGCAAAACAAGACUCUAUGAAUAAGGAA